GUUGCAAUGCCCUUGCUUGGCCGCAAUGUCCCGUGAAAUUUCUUUGCAUAUCGUUAGUGAGGGGGAAACUGCGGCUCCAACGUAUGUUUGGCAGUCAUCUGUAUCCAGUGGAUACGAUUCCAGCUGAGUUUUGUCUUCCACAACCAGGCCGAAGAAGACCAAAUUUAAUUUCCAACGAUACUGAACUAUGAUUGACAAUCAUGGGUGGUCGGGAGCAAAAUUAGUUAACAUACUCUCUCCGCCGCUGAGCGCACUGAUAUAAACAACUUGGAUUUUUAAACAUUCUCCUCUAAAUCUGCAUGGGACAGGGAAGAUUGAAGUUCUACAACAAGUCCACAGAUAAAAAGAAGAUUGAGUUAACCGUGGAAUUCCAUAUACGGGGAGUUUUAAAAUGAUAUUCCUAAUCCAGUGACAUCAUGUCUUUGGCAGUUGCGACUUUUCUGAUUCUGGGAAUGAACCAGACAGGCCAUUCAUUAACCCGGAGUUAUCUUGUCCAAAUGAAAGUCAAUUUAUAAGGACAAGAAUGAAAAACUGAUGACUUGAUCGGUCAGAGAUGGAACAGGAGGACGUGAAUUAAUUCAGGAAGAUUUGCUCUUCAGAUUUACAAAAUGCAGAUGAUUGAAGCACAUAGCUUUGACUCGCCCCUUCCCUCACCGUGACCAAUCCUUUAUGUCUCUCUUCUUCAACAUUAUCCUGCCUGGACAGAUAAUGGGGAUAUCAGCUGGAGGAAAGUGGAGCAGAGGACAUAUUGCCAAUCAGGCUGACAUUCAUAGGCCUCAGCUCAUUCACUGGUACUUUACCAACUGCAGCAAUCAGCUUUGCUGCAGGAACUGCGGACAUUUCUGGAGACAAGGCAAGGUGAAGAUUAACCUUGGUGGCAGCUGCCAUGUUCUGCUUCUGAAGAUUCUGGAGACCUUCUAUACUUGAAGAAAUGGCUGUGGUAGAGGCAGGCUUUCCUGGAAGCCUGAAUGAUCUGUAAAGAAAUACAAAUGAAGUUUGGCUCUGAAACAGCACCCUGGGCUUUAUCUGGAGCUAGUGACCAUUUGAUUAUCACCUUCCUGUUAACAUCUGUGGAGCCACCCAUAAUGUAGAAUUUGAUCAUCCGUGAUUCAGUUUUCACUGUAAACAGAAUUAAAAUCCCAACUUGCCUCAGUAUUUGUGCAGCAACUUCCAUUAGCAACAGCCUUUGGGGAGUAUUUAAUAGAAACAGUAGGAGAUGGUGCCAGAUAAUGGGUGGCACUGUGGCACAGCUCCUAGAACUGCUGCCUUACAGUUCCAGAAUCCCAGGUUCAAUCUCAACCAUUGGUGCUGUGAAAAAUUUGUACAUGCUUCAUGUGACUCUCCGGGUUUCUUCCAGGUCCUCUAGUUUCCUCACACAUUCCAAAAGGAAACUUGGCCACAGUAAUUUUCCCCAAGUGUGUAGGUGAGUGACAGAAUCUGAUGGGAAUGAGAGAGUGGGCACUAGGGUAGUGUAGCAGUUAGCACAAUGCUACUACUGCUCGGGGUGUCAGAGUUCAGAGUUCAGAGUUCAAUUCCGAUGUCAUCUGUAAGGAGUCUGUAUAUCUUCCCCAGGAUUGUGUGGGUUUUCUCCAGGUUGUCCAAUUCCACCCCGCCCCACCCAUAGUCCAAAGACCUUACUGGUUAGUAGGUUAAUUAGGCAUUGUAAAUUGGCCCAUGAUUAGGAUAGAUUUAAAGUGUCUCAAAGGGUUGAAAGAGCCUAUUCCAUGCUGUAACUCAAAGUAAAUAAAAAUGGAUUAGAGCAGCACUAGUGUAAAAAAAUGGGUGUUUGUUGGGUGCAAUGGAUUAAAGAUCCUUCAUAGUAGGCUGAUCCAGUAUAAGACAUAUGAUUUCUUGGUUGACUGGAUUCAAAAUCAGCUUGGCCAUAGAAGAAAAAGGAUCUUGUUGAACCACUGUUUCUCUGACUGAAUAUCUGUGACCAAAGAUCGCCCACAAGGAUCAGUGUUGGGACGUCUGUUGGUGUAAUAUAUAUAAAUUAUAUGGAUGAAAAUAUAUAUGGGCUGAUCAUUAACUUUGCAGAUAACUCAAUAAGUUGCUGGGGUUGAGAAGAAACUUGUCAAGGGAUGCAACUGGAUAUAGAUAAAGACACACAAAAUGCUGGAGGAACCCAGCAGGCCAGGCAGCAACAAUGGAAAAAAGUACUGUACUUUCUUUCCAUAGACGCUGCCUGACCUGCUGAGUUCCUCCAGCAUUUUGUGUGUGUUGCUCAGAUUUCCAGCAUCUGCAGAUUUUCUCUUGUUUGGAUAUAGAUCAAUUGGAGAUAUAGGUGGAGAAAUAGAAAAGAAGUUUAAUCCAGACAAAUGUAAGGUGUUGCAGUUUGACAGAUCAAUUGUCAAGGGAAAGUAUAUGAAUGACCCUUGGGAGCAUUGAUAUACAGAGUGAUCUUUGGGUGAAAGUCCAUAGCUCUCUGAAAGUGACAGCGCAAGUAGAUAGGGUGGUAAAGAAGGCAUAUAGCCUGCUUACCUUCAUUAUCAGGGCACUGAGUAUAUAGUCAGGAGG